UACGGAGGGUGCGAGCGUUGUUCGGAAUCACUGGGCGUAAAGGGCGUGUAGGCGGUCCGCUAAGUCUGAUGUGAAAGCCCGGGGCUCACCCCCGGAAGUGCAUUGGAAACUGGCGGACUCGAGUCCCGGAGAGGAGAGUGGAAUUCCUGGUGUAGCGGUGAAAUGCGCAGAUAUCAGGAGGAACACCGAUGGCGAAGGCAGGUCUCUGGGCAUUAACUGACGCUGAGGAGCGAAAGCAUGGGGAGCGAACAGG
rnacentral:rRNA from 1 species